AUGGCUCACACAAAAUUUGAAUUGCCAAUGGUGGCCUGUCCCACAUGCCAUAGAUGUAAGAGGGGAUCAUUACUUCACAAAAAGUUUGGUCACCCACCUGUUCUGGCAAAAAGUAGGCAACAAUCCUGCAAAAAUAAACAAAUCCACAGGCCAUGUCAAACGCUGGCAGUUAGAACCAAUCCCAAAUGGUGGUCAAAUUGCUUUGAGUAUCACGAAAACUGGCAUGGUCUGCUGGGAUUUGCAAAUAAAGAAUGGUAUAAGUUGAUAUGCAUACUCAUGUUGAACACAAGGAAACAAAAAAAUAGGAUUUCUUUACUUACCAGGCCAAUAAAUGACGAGUCCAUAACAGAGCCAAAAAACAGAUAUGCACCAGGAUGA
rnacentral:rRNA from 1 species